AUAAUGCCAUGUAAAUCAGUGGAAUAUGGGUGGGGCAGAUGUCAGGCUGAAUUUUGAAAUUCCUUGCCUUCCUCAGGCCAGCAGAGAAUGUAGCUGACCUUCUGAGGGCAUGUAUUUAUAUAAAAGGGCAAAUUAAGUAAUGACAGUUACCUUAAAUGGAACCCAAGCUGAAGGAAGAAGAGAUCUGCUGGAGAGAGGAAGAUAUUAAAGUCUAGGAACUAAAGUGUCGGCAAAGACAAGUGAAUACAGGAUUCCUUUUCUGGAGAAAAAUAAAAUAAAAGAUGAGCAGGUUCCAUCAUUCUGUGGCACCGAGAUUGUGAAUGCAACAAGUAUUGAUGAACGAGGUGCUCGUGGAGCCAAACAGCAAAUCCACGUCAGUGAGAACAGAGCAACCUGAUGUAGAAACAAGAGUCGUCUCCUGAUCCACGAAUACACGCUUUUUUCAAGAGGAAAAGAAGCUGAGUUUUUAAUAUUGCGAGAAUGCUCAGCCCUUUUCAGCUGGGAGAUGUCAGAAGCAGCUGCAGACCUAAAUGAAAGGAGCUCAUCUCUGGAAAUUUGCUAUGCUAUAAUAAAUGCAGGCUUCUGCUGGUGAGCUGCUGAUGGUCCUUUAAUGUCUUUAUGCUCCAGCACUACUCAAAGACACUGUGUUGCCUGCCCUCCCUCCCUUCCCCGCAGCUCCCUGCACCCCCUGCCCACCCAGGGUUAGGAUUUGAUGGUGCGAAGGUGAGAGUUCACUGCAACGCUCAAGGACUAGGCUGGGUC